GUAAGGAAUAUUGCUCAAUGGGAGAAAUCCUGAAGCAGCAACGCCGCGUGGAGGAUGAAGGGUCUAUGACUUGUAAACUCCUGUAAAGAAGGAAAAAAUUCCCAUUUGAUGGGAGAUGAUGGUACUUCUGGAGUAAGCCCCGGCUAACUACGUGCCAGCAGCCGCGGUAAUACGUAGGGGGCAAGCGUUGUCCGGAUUUACUGGGUGUAAAGGGUGCUCAGGCGGAUUUGUAAGUCAGAGGUGAAAUCUUACAGCUUAACUGUGAAACUGCCUUUGAUACUGCAAGCCUAGAGUAUGGAAGAGAGUGAUGGAAUAUCUGGUGUAGCAGUGAAAUGCGUAGAUAUCAGAUAGAACACCAAUGGCGAAGGCAGUCACUUGGUCCAUUACUGACGCUAAAGCACGAAAGCGUGGGUAGCAAACA
rnacentral:rRNA from 1 species